rnacentral:rRNA from 1 species
GAACGCUAGCUACAGGCUUAACACAUGCAAGUCGAGGGGCAGCAUGGUCUUAGCUUGCUAAGGCCGAUGGCGACCGGCGCACGGGUGAGUAACACGUAUCCAACCUGCCGUCUACUCUUGGACAGCCUUCUGAAAGGAAGAUUAAUACAAGAUGGCAUCAUGAGUCCGCAUGUUCACAUGAUUAAAGGUAUUCCGGUAGACGAUGGGGAUGCGUUCCAUUAGAUAGUAGGCGGGGUAACGGCCCACCUAGUCUUCGAUGGAUAGGGGUUCUGAGAGGAAGGUCCCCCACAUUGGAACUGAGACACGGUCCAAACUCCUACGGGAGGCAGCAGUGAGGAAUAUUGGUCAAUGGGCGAGAGCCUGAACCAGCCAAGUAGCGUGAAGGAUGACUGCCCUAUGGGUUGUAAACUUCUUUUAUAAAGGAAUAAAGUCGGGUAUGGAUACCCGUUUGCAUGUACUUUAUGAAUAAGGAUCGGCUAACUCCGUGCCAGCAGCCGCGGUAAUACGGAGGAUCCGAGCGUUAUCCGGAUUUAUUGGGUUUAAAGGGAGCGUAGAUGGAUGUUUAAGUCAGUUGUGAAAGUUUGCGGCUCAACCGUAAAAUUGCAGUUGAUACUGGAUAUCUUGAGUGCAGUUGAGGCAGGCGGAAUUCGUGGUGUAGCGGUGAAAUGCUUAGAUAUCACGAAGAACUCCGAUUGCGAAGGCAGCCUGCUAAGCUGCAACUGACAUUGAGGCUCGAAAGUGUGGGUAUCAAACAGGAUUAGAUACCCUGGUAGUCCACACGGUAAACGAUGAAUACUCGCUGUUUGCGAUAUACUGCAAGCGGCCAAGCGAAAGCGUUAAGUAUUCCACCUGGGGAGUACGCCGGCAACGGUGAAACUCAAAGGAAUUGACGGGGGCCCGCACAAGCGGAGGAACAUGUGGUUUAAUUCGAUGAUACGCGAGGAACCUUACCCGGGCUUAAAUUGCAGAUGAAUUACGGUGAAAGCCGUAAGCCGCAAGGCAUCUGUGAAGGUGCUGCAUGGUUGUCGUCAGCUCGUGCCGUGAGGUGUCGGCUUAAGUGCCAUAACGAGCGCAACCCUUGUUGUCAGUUACUAACAGGUUCCGCUGAGGACUCUGACAAGACUGCCAUCGUAAGAUGUGAGGAAGGUGGGGAUGACGUCAAAUCAGCACGGCCCUUACGUCCGGGGCUACACACGUGUUACAAUGGGGGGUACAGAGGGCCGCUACCACGCGAGUGGAUGCCAAUCCCCAAAACCUCUCUCAGUUCGGACUGGAGUCUGCAACCCGACUCCACGAAGCUGGAUUCGCUAGUAAUCGCGCAUCAGCCACGGCGCGGUGAAUACGUUCCCGGGCCUUGUACACACCGCCCGUCAAGCCAUGGGAGCCGGGGGUACCUGAAGUGCGUAACCGCGAGGAGCGCCCUAGGGUAAAACUGGUGACUGG